rnacentral:rRNA from 1 species
AGUGAACGCUGGCGGUAGGCCUAACACAUGCAAGUCGAACGGCAGCACAGUAAGAGCUUGCUCUUACGGGUGGCGAGUGGCGGACGGGUGAGGAAUACAUCGGAAUCUACUUUUUCGUGGGGGAUAACGUAGGGAAACUUACGCUAAUACCGCAUACGACCUACGGGUGAAAGCAGGGGAUCUUCGGACCUUGCGCGAUUGAAUGAGCCGAUGUCGGAUUAGCUAGUUGGCGGGGUAAAGGCCCACCAAGGCGACGAUCCGUAGCUGGUCUGAGAGGAUGAUCGGCCACACUGGAACUGAGACACGGUCCAGACUCCUAAGGGAGGCGGCAGUGGGGAAUAUUAGACAAUGGGCGCAAGCCUGAUACAGCCAUACCGCGUGGGUGAAGAAGGCCUUCGGGUUGUAAAGCCCUUUUGUUGGGAAAGAAAAGCAGCAGGUUAAUACCCCGCUGUUCUGACGGUACCCAAAGAAUAAGCACCGGCUAACUUCGUG